UACAGAGGUCCCAAGCGUUGUUCGGAUUCACUGGGCGUAAAGGGUGCGCAGGUGGGCUGGUAAGUUCGAUGUGAAAGCCCCGGGCUUAACCCGGGAAAGGCAUUGGAUACUACUGGUCUGGAGGAUUGGAGGGGGGACUGGAAUUCUUGGUGUAGCAGUGAAAUGCGCAGAUAUCAGGAGGAACACCGAUGGCGAAGGCAGGUCUCUGGGCAUUAACUGACGCUGAGGAGCGAAAGCAUGGGGAGCGAACAGG
rnacentral:rRNA from 1 species